AUUGAACGCUGGCGGCAGGCUUAACACAUGCAAGUCGAGCGAGCGGCGGACGGGUGAGUAAUGUCUGGGAAACUGCCUGAUGGAGGGGGAUAACUACUGGAAACGGUAGCUAAUACCGCAUAUCAUAAAGUGUGCCCAGAUGGGAUUAGCUAGUAGGUGGGGUAAUGGCUCACGGAGGCGACGAUCCCUCGCUGGUCUGAGAGGAUUACCAGCCACACUGGAACUGAGACACGGUCCAGACUCCUACGAGAGGCAGCAGUGGGGAAUAUUGCACAAUGGGCGCGAGCCUGAUGCAGCAAUGCCGCGUGUGUGAAGAAGGCCUUCGGGUUGUAAAGCACUUUCAGCGAGGAGGCGUUACUCGCAGAAGAAGCACCGGCUAACUCCGUGCCAGCAGCCGCGGUAAUUC
rnacentral:rRNA from 1 species